AGUGAACGCUGGCGGUAGGCCUAACACAUGCAAGUCGAACGGCAGCACAGUAAGAGCUUGCUCUUACGGGUGGCGAGUGGCGGCCGGGUGAGGAAUACAUCGGAAUCUACUUUUUCGUGGGGGAUAACGUAGGGAAACUUACGCUAAUACCGCAUACGACCUACGGCUGAAAGCAGGGGAUGUUCGGACCUUGCGCGAUUGAAUGAGCCGAUGUCGGAUUAGCUAGUUGGCGGGGUAAAGGCCCACCAAGGCGACGAUCCGUAGCUGGUCUGAGAGGAUGAUCAGCCACACUGGAACUGAGACACGGUCCAGACUCCUACGGGAGGCAGCAGUGGGGAAUAUUGGACAAUGGGCGCAAGCCUGAGCCAGCCAUAGCGCGUGGGUGAAGAAGGCCUUCGGGUUGUAAAGCCCUUUUGUUGGGAAAGAAAAGCAGCAGGUUAAUACCCCGCUGUUCUGACGGUACCCAAAGAAUAAGCACCGGCUAACUUCGUG
rnacentral:rRNA from 1 species